GAGAGGAUCCAUCUGAUAAAGUUGCAGAGGCAUCUUGGAUUUACAACACCCCCUGCCAGCCCCUCACUGAACCACACAUCAUCUGCAGCAGGAGGCGUUGGAUUACAUUUGGCUGGAGCGCCCGCAUCAACUCCAGUUGUCCCUGAAUUGGAACUGAUGGGCCUCACGUGCCACAGCCAACAGUUUGUCUUCACCCACUCCCCUCUCUGGAAUGAACCUUUCUCUGGGAAAACAAGAAACCUACGUGCCAUCCUGGGUGAGAGACAAACAGGAGCUGCAUCCCAGGAUCGCAUCCCCAGUAUGAUGGGUUCCCCACAGCAAGCCACACUUCAAGCAUCUCUGGAAAGACCUUCUGAACCACAGGACACAAAUGCUCCCUCUGGAGGACCGGAGCCUCUGUGUUCCUCUCAGCUCACAGGCAUCCAUUCUUCCUGCAUUCAGGCUCCUUGAGGAAUGCCUUUAGCUCUAGCUAUUGCAAGCUUUUAAGAACUUAUUGGAACACAAAUGCUCAUUUCAAGGAAACAGAUAACAGUUGCAAAUGGAUUAAACGUAAUCCCUGUGCUGGAGCCCUUGAAGGAAAAGAGAUGGGGGUUUCUGGGCUGUGAGAUGAAGCUUGGUCAAGGAUGCUUGCUUUGAGGACUCUGCUCUGAAAACCCAGGUAAGCAAAAUAGUGGAAUGUUAGCCCUUAAAUGAACUUUGAACCCAACCCAACCCCAUUCGCUUAUAGAGGAGGAAACCAAGGCUCAGAAUGAAACAAGCAAGGCCAAGGUUAACACAACCAGCCAGUGACAGGCCUCCCCAACAGCCUGGGCCUGGGCUCUUAGCUCUCCCCCAUGCGGUUUUUCGUCCUGGGAGAAAGUGAAAUUAAAUAAAGACAAAAAGUUAGUUCUAAACUCUGGCCUG
rnacentral:lncRNA from 1 species